CGUCGCCGGCAGCCGCGCACAAGGGCACGACAGGAAGGGGAAGGAAGAGAGGAAGAGAAGGGGAACUCACCUCGGCCUCCGGUGACCCCACCGGCGAGAAAUCACGGCGAGAGCAAAACGGUUGUCCGUAGCUCCAAAUCGGAAAAUAGGGAGAAAGAGAGGGGAAGAGGGCCGGUGAUUGGCUUCUAGGGAAAGGGGAGGUCUUCUUAUAGAGGGCCCUAGGACUUCGAGAGGUCCUAGGACUCCCAAUUUGCCCGGGUCUCGUCGGAGAAGAAGACUCCUAUCGGGAGUCUUCUUCC
rnacentral:lncRNA from 1 species